rnacentral:sRNA from 1 species
GCAGUGACAUAUAAAUUCUACUAUUUUUAUUAUUAUUUAUUAUUAUUAUUUUUUAGCUUUGUUGUCCAGACUGGAGUGCAGUGAUGAAUUAUAGCUCACUGCAGCCUCGAACUCUUGGGCCUAAGAGAUCCUUCUGCCUCAGCUUCCUGAGUAGCUAGGACUACAGGGGCAAGCUACCAUGUCUGGCUAAUUUUUAAAAUUUUUUUGUAGAGACAGGGUCUUGCUAUGUUUGCCAGGCUAGUAUUGAACUCCAGGCCUCAAGUGAACCUCCCGCCUUUGCCUCCCAAAGUGUUGGGAUUAUAGGUAUGAGUCUCCUUGCCUGGCCUAGAUUCUGUUUUUAUAUGCGAUCAAUGUAUGUAGCAUGUCUUUGUCUUGUGCUAAGUGGGGAUUAUUAACCGCUUAGAAUAUAAAAUUGUACAACAAUUUCAUUUGUUUAUUUGCAUUUUGUUUUUUAUAACUCUUACUCCCUUUUCCCCUCAAAGGAGAACUGUGUUUAUGAAACUGUAGUUUUGCCUUUGGAUGAAAGGGCAUUUGAGAAGACUUUAACACCAAUCAUACAGGAAUAUUUUGAGCAUGGAGAUACUAAUGAAGUUGCGGAAAUGUUAAGAGAUUUAAAUCUUGGUGAAAUGAAAAGUGGAGUACCAGUGUUGGCAGUAUCCUUAGCAUUGGAGGGGAAGGCUAGUCAUAGAGAGAUGACAUCUAAGCUUCUUUCUGACCUUUGUGGGACAGUAAUGAGCACAACUGAUGUGGAAAAAUCAUUUGAUAAAUUGUUGAAAGAUCUACCUGAAUUAGCACUGGAUACUCCUAGAGCACCACAGUUGGUGGGCCAGUUUAUUGCUAGAGCUGUUGGAGAUGGAAUUUUAUGUAAUACCUAUAUUGAUAGUUACAAAGGAACUGUAGAUUGUGUGCAGGCUAGAGCUGCUCUGGAUAAGGCUACCGUGCUUCUGAGUAUGUCUAAAGGUGGAAAGCGUAAAGAUAGUGUGUGGGGCUCUGGAGGUGGGCAGCAAUCUGUCAAUCACCUUGUUAAAGAGAUUGAUAUGCUGCUGAAAGAAUAUUUACUCUCUGGAGACAUAUCUGAAGCUGAACAUUGCCUUAAGGAGCUGGAAGUACCUCAUUUUCA